GAUGAACGCUGGCGGCGUGCCUAAUACAUGCAAGUCGAGCGAACGGACGAGAAGCUUGCUUCUCUGAUGUUAGCGGCGGACGGGUGAGUAACACGUGGAUACCCUACCUAUAAGACUGGGAUAACUUCGGGAAACCAGAGCUAAUACCGGAUAAUAUUUUGAACCGCAUGGUUCAAGAGUGAAAGACGGUCUUGCUGUCACUUAUAGAUGGAUCCGCGCUGCAUUAGCUAGUUGGUAAGGUAACGGCUUACCAAGGCAACGAUGCAUAGCCGACCUGAGAGGGUGAUCGGCCACACUGGAACUGAGACACGGCCCAGACUCCUACGGGAGGCAGCAGUAGGGAAUCUUGCGCAAUGGGCGAAAGCCUGACGGAGCAACGCCGCGUGAGUGAUGAAGGUCUUCGGAUCGUAAACCUCUGUUAUUAGGGAAGAAAAGAUGUGUAAGUAACUGUGGACAUCUUGACGGUACCUAAACAGAAAGCAACGGCUAACUACGUG
rnacentral:rRNA from 1 species